rnacentral:rRNA from 1 species
UUCGCAAUGCCCGAAAGGGUGACGAAGCGACGCCGCGUGUGGGAAGAAGGCCUUCGGGUUGUAAACCACUGUCGGGAGUUAAGAAAUGUAAGGGUGUUAAUAGCGCCUUUGCUUGACUAAGGCUCCGGAGGAAGCCACGGCUAACUCUGUGCCAGCAGCCGCGGUAAUACAGAGGCGGCAAGCGUUGUUCGGAAUUAUUGGGCGUAAAGAGCACGUAGGCGGCUGUGUAAGUCGGUUGUGAAAGCCUUCUGCUUAACGGAAGAACAGCAUCCGAUACUGCAUAGCUCGAGUGCGGGAGGGGAGAGUGGAACUUCUGGUGGAGCGGUGAAAUGCGUAGAUAUCAGAAGGAACGCCGGCGGCGAAAGCGACUCUCUGGCCCGUAACUGACGCUGAGUGUGCGAAAGCUAGGGGAGCAAACGGGAUUAGAUACCCCGGUAGUCCUAGCCGUAAACGAUGGGCACUAAGUAGAGGGGUUUU